CAAAGCUUAUUUGUAAAUUAACUCAAUCCCCCUAGUUAUUAAAAACCCUUAACUAAUAUUAAGUAAUUUUAUAAAAUUAUAAAACAUAUAAUGUUAAAACUAGUAACAAGAACUAGAACUUCUCUAUAAUGCAAGUGUAUGUCAGAUUGGACAAACCGCUGACUCUUAACAUCUUGAAAUCAAAGUAACAACUUAUCAAGAAAAUUUUACCAAACACAGUGUUAAUCUAACACAAGAGCAUUUUCAGACAGAUUAAAAGGAAAAGAAGGAACUCGGCAAAUAUUAACCUCGCCNNUUUACCAAAAACAUCGCCUCUUGACAAACAUAUAAGAGGUCUAGCCUGCCCAGUGACUCUGUUCAACGGCCGCGGNNNN
rnacentral:rRNA from 1 species